UACAGAGGGGGCAAGCGUUAUUCGGAAUUAUUGGGCGUAAAGGGCGCGUAGGCGGCUUGGCAAGUGGAUGGUGAAAUCCCUCGGCUUAACCGAGGAACUGCCGUCCAAACUGCUUCGCUUGAGACCGGGAGAGGUGAGUGGAAUUCCCAGUGUAGCGGUGAAAUGCGAAGAUAUUGGGAGGAACACCAGUGGCGAAGGCGGCUCACUGGACCGGUACUGACGCUGAUGCGCGAAAGCGUGGGGAGCAAACGGG
rnacentral:rRNA from 1 species